rnacentral:rRNA from 1 species
CGUGUAGGUGGUUUAGUAAGUCUGGCGUGAAAUUUUUCGGCUUAACCGGGAAAGGUCGUCGGAUACUGCAAGACUAGAGGACGGUAGAGGCGUGUGGAAUUCCGGGUGUAGUGGUGAAAUGCGUAGAGAUCCGGAGGAACACCAGUGGCGAAGGCGACACGCUGGGCCGUACCUGACACUGAUGCGCGACAGCAUGGGGAGCAAACA